rnacentral:lncRNA from 1 species
GGGGGUUCCCCAAGGUGUCGGACUCUGCGGAGGGGUGAAGUUUCGGCACUGGGGAGGGCGUGCGGACGCUUUCCGUGCAGGCGACCGCUGCGCUGCGUGCGGGUGGUCUUAGCUCCGUUCCCCCGUUCAAUUCCUCACAAUUCCAGGUCGGCGGCAAAGGGGUCCCCGAACGAAGGGCGCAGGACAGCGCCCUUCUCUCUGUCUUCGUCUUCGCCCUUCUCUUCGUCUCUGCUGGGACCGAGAAGGCGGACUUCAUGGCCGCUGGGCCCGCGGGCUUCUCCCCGAGUCUCCCCGAGUCGGUUGGCAUUAAGAGGCAUUCCUGUAUUCAACAUACAUGGGCUGGGCGCAGUGGCACACACCUGUAAUCCCAGCACUUUGGGAGGCCGAGGUGGGUGGAUCACAAGGUCAAGAAAUCGAGACCAUCCUGGCCAACAAAAAUUAGCUGGGCGUGGUGGUGGGCGCCUGUAUAGUCCCAGCUCCUUGGGAGGCUGAGGCAGGAGAAUUGCUUGAAUACGAGAGGUGGAGGUUGCAGCAAGGCAAGGUCCCGCCACUGCACUCCAGCCUGGCGACAGAGCAAGACUCCGUCCAAAUAUGUAUAUAUAUAUUUUUAUACAAAUAAAAUAAACCUUCUUAUGGAACAUUGGUGGAAAAAAAAAUACUUUGUAGCAGGUAUUUAUAAAAAUACUUUGCUCCACACUCUGAUUUAGGUGCUAGGGUUUCCUUUAGUCCUUCCCACUCUCCAAGCUGGGAGUACUUGAAAAUCUAUGUUGACAUGCACUUUUUACAUCUCCUAAGUCACUUGACACAUUUGGCCUGAUAUAUGGCUUAUCAGUAUAUUUAUUCUAGACUAAAGAAAUGGGAAUUGUAUUCUUGUCUUUGAAGUCUACACUAUCUAUCAGAGGGCCUGGCACUAGUGGAAAGUUAGUCAAUAUUUGUUGAAUAAUGAUGGUAAGUUCUCUAAGAGACUUGCCUGAAGUUGCUUGGAAGCAGUAUCUGAGCUGCAGAUUGUGAUCUAUUGUAAUAUAUGCCUCUGGGAAUUUACUUACACAAUGGGAUGUUCUCUAUAUAUUUUUGAAGCUUGUUUGUAGUCUAUGUAAUCUAAAU